rnacentral:tRNA from 1 species
AUUUAUAUAGUAUAAUAUAUUACUAUUGAUUUCCAAUCAAAUAAUCUAAUUCUAAUUAGUAUAAAUA